UAUGCUUCUCCUAAAGACUAAGCCAUGCAUGCCUUCGAAUAAGAGGAAGCAAUUCUCUCUGAAUCUGCGAACGGCUCCGCAAACCAGUUGUAAACUAUAGCAAGCAAGCUCAGGGCCGGCCUUCACGGGGCGGCUCGGGGCGAUAUGGAUAACCCUGGUAAUUCUGAGGCUAAUACAUGAGUGUAACCCCUGGAGGACCGGCUUCGGCUGGGAAUCUGGAGGAUGUGCGAUUGCAGGCUUGGUAACACCGGGAAAGGGCGCACGUUCAGAUCACGCUAAAAAGGUCGGGCCCCUUCGGGGGCCUGCCCCAGUGACUCUUGCUGUGUGCUUCUGACCUAUCAACUAGACGGCAGCGUAAGGGACAUGCUAUGGUGACAACGGGUACAGAGGAUUAGGGUUCGAUCCUGGAGAGUGGGCCUGAGAGAUUGCUCAUACUUCUAAGGAAGGCAGCAGGCGCGCAACGUUCCCCUUGGGCAAUGCCCGAGGGCGUUAGGGGACAUAUGAAUGCCUGCCCAUUGGGUGGGCAAUUCAAAUGGGUCUGUUCUAAACAGGCUCUCGAGUAACAAUUAGAGGA
rnacentral:rRNA from 1 species